rnacentral:lncRNA from 1 species
AGAUCCUCAACGUCUGGAAGUAAGUCACCGGCCAUCUUUUUCCUGAUGAAUUUUCUUUCUAGCUCAAUGUGAUCGGAUCUGACUAGUACGUUCAAAUUUACUCUUGUUUUCUUUUCAAAUAGUACUAGUAGUCUAUAUUCCAGCUGUGCGACUAUCUGUAGCCACUUGAACCGAUGAGAAUUCUUCAAGCCUUCCUAUAGCCACUUGAACAAAUGUCCAUCUCAGAUCUGCUCAUCUAAAAAAUCCAAGUGGAGUAGUAUACUGGUAGUAUAGUGUAAUAAUAUUAUCAAAAGGUAAAUGCCCUGAUUAUUUAGCUCUGUUAGAUAAAUACUCGUCGAAAGUGGGCUCCUAUCAAAAUUCAUUUCCAUUAUAAUCUUACUCAUACAAUAUUCACACCAUGUAAUUCUGGAAAUAUAUGCUCAUAUCUAGUUCUACAUAAAAAAUGACAGUAUUGACAUGUUAUAAAUAGUUUGUUUGUGUUUCUGUUUAUUUUGUUACAUUUUGCAGGGAUAAAGUGAAGAAAAGAAGAAAAGAUUAUUUGAAGAUUAGUUUUAGGAUUUUCUUUUAUUUCCUUGCAAUUUUCCUUUUAUUGGAAACUUGUAAAGACAUUGUAAUAUUCUAACUAUAAUAAAAAUUAUGAUUCUAUUUCAUUUUUUGUUUUUAAAUUAUUUUUCCUUAUAUGUUGUUUUCU